ensembl:snRNA U6 U6 spliceosomal RNA
AUUGCUUUGGCAGCACCUAGUAAAAUUGGAAUGAUACCAAGAAGAUUGGCGUGGCCCCUGUGCAAAGAUGACACAUAAAUUUGUGAAGUGCUCCAUAUUAAA